rnacentral:rRNA from 1 species
GAACGCCGAAAGUUUUCCUUUCGGGAAACAAGUAGAGUGGCGCACGGGUGAGUAACACGUAGGUAAUCUACCUUUGGAUGGGGAAUAACAACCGGAAACGGUUGCUAAUACCGCAUAAUGCAGCGGCACCUAAUGGUGACAGUUGUUAAAGCGGGGGAUCGAAAGACCUCGCGUCUGAAGAGGAGCCUGCGGCGGAUUAGCUAGUUGGUAAGGUAACGGCUUACCAAGGCGACGAUCCGUAGCCGGCCUGAGAGGGCGGUCGGCCACACUGACACUGACAUACGGGUCAGACUCCUACGGGAGGCAGCAGUCGGGAAUUUUGGGCAAUGGGCGAAAGCCUGACCCAGCAACGCCGCGUGAAGGAUGAAAUCCCUCGGGAUGUAAACUUCGCAAGAACGGGAAGAAUAAGCGAGAGUUAAUAUCUCUCGUGAUGACGGUACCGUUUGUAAGCUCCGGCUAACUCCGUGCCAGCAGCCGCGGUAAUACGGGGGGAGCAAGCGUUGUUCGGAUUUACUGGGCGUAAAGGGCGCGUAGGCGGUCAGCACAAGUCAGUUGUGAAAUCUCCGAGCUUAACUCGGAAAGGUCAACUGAUACUGUGCGACUAGAGUGCGGAAGGGGCAACUGGAAUUCUUGGUGUAGCGGUGAAAUGCGUAGAUAUCAAGAGGAACACCUGGCGGCGAAGGCGGGGUUGCUGGGCCGACACUGACGCUGAGGCGCGAAAGCCAGGGGAGCGAACGGGAUUAGAUACCCCGGUAGUCCUGGCCUUAAACGAUGAAUGCUUGGUGUCUGGGGUUAUAAAGUCCCCGGGUGCCGUCGCUAACGCUUUAAGCAUUCCGCCUGGGGAGUACGGUCGCAAGACUGAAACUCAAGGGAAUUGACGGGGACCCC